rnacentral:lncRNA from 12 species
CUCUCAAAUUCCAAAAGGUUUGCACUUUUUUAAAAAUAAUUUGAUAUACCAAAAAUAGCAUUUCAAUAUUUUGUUAGGUAGUCCUUCAGUUAUUGACAAGGAUAAAGCUUUAUUUUAAAUUUGUUUUUUUAGCCACUUAGAUUUCUUUUUAGUGAAUUUUUUGUUAAUAUUGUUUACUGUUUUAAAUAGGGUUUAAACAUUUUUUUGUCUUGAUCUCCCAAAUAUUAAAUCCUUAUUUUAUUUAUUGCAAAUACUUUGCCUGGUUUGCUAUUUGUUUAAAUUUUGUUGAUGAUAUUUUUGACAUGCUGAAGUAUUAAGUCCUUACAUAGUUACAUAUUUUUUUUUUCUUCCAGCUUUUUAAACCUUGGAAAAUGAUUAGCCGGUUAUCUCCCAGAGCUCCAACAAGGCUCAUUGGAAGGAGGCCAACCUCAGAUAAUUGAACAAAAACACUUUCUAAGGGCAGUGGGUCGCAUUUUCCUAAAGCUUUCCCAUGUCAGACCCUGUGCCAAAGGCUCUCCACCAUCCUUACGACACCCCGCAAUGUGUUGGUUUGCAACCUGGGCAAUUUCCCUGAAUCUGAAACUGGUCCCUGCACAAGGAGGGCAGGGAGAGAUGAGGAGUGGCAGGCCAUUCCAGAUCCAUAGGUGGCAGGUUUAACAAGCCAGGAAACUUACACCUGAGGUUUGUCUCGUGCACGCAAGACAAGUAGAUUUCUGUAGGGAUCACCAGGAUCUUCAAAGUUUACAUGGAGGCCUUACUGGGUUCAGUCAUAUGGUUACAUCCAGGUGGUCAUAACAACACAUUCCUCUCUCAAGGCUUCCUGCUUGGACAAGGCCCCCACUGUGGGGAUGUGGGCAGAGUCUGUAGGUUCCAAGGACAGGGGAGGGGGUAAGGAGCCUGCAUUCCCCGAGGGCCAGCUGAUGGGUCAGCCAGCAUUCACCGCCCUUCAAUGACCUCCUCCGACAGAAAGAUUAGCUGUUACCGCCCAUACUCAGGUAAAGUCUGGAAGUUAACAGAUUUUCUCAAGAUGCGGAAUAUUAAGGGCCAGAGUGACAUCCUGGAUUUUCUGAACUGUUCUUUAUCUCCACUAAAAGGCACCUACAAGGAAGUGGUUUAUUUCUUGGUUAAAAACACCAGUUUAGAGGGACUUCAUGCAUACUUUACAAGCCGACUCUGCAAAAAUACACUGCAGAUAUUCCUGGAAUGAACGGCAAAGGUAACUGCUCUGAAUUCUGAUGAGACAGCCUGGGAAGAGCUGGCACAUCUAUGAUCUAUCGUGGCCCUAUAAAAAAGGAAAGUGAAAAAGAAAAAUUGUUUGAUAAGCACACACACCAGGUGACUUAAAUCGCAAGAUCUUAUUUUAAUUCUCAUAACAGCCUUACGAGGCAAUGUUACCCCAUUUUACAGAGUGAGACAGGAUGAUGAAGACGUUAAGAUUGAAUCAAAGUCAUCCUGCUGGUAAGUGGCAGAGCUAGAAUUCAAAUCCCUGUUCUUGUCACCAUAUUACUGUCCAUUUGUAGUGGCUCUUCACUCUCUACCAUUCCUUGUCCUUAGUAGGGUGAUUCUACUGCUAUCCUUUUAUCCAAAAACUUUCUUGUGAGAGCCAGAUUUUCUACUUCCUUCAAAAGAACAACCCAGGGACCAAUGAUGUUAUAAAGGACUUAUGAGGAAAAUGGAAAUCCCUCACAGACAGAGAUGCUCUGGCUCUGAGAUGGGGAAAUCCAGAGAUGAAAAUUUUGUUUUCCUCACAGGACUAUGGCAUUUUUAGUCAGUGGAUCCAACCAGAAUAUGAUUUAUUAAGAAUUUGAGACAUCAGUCAUUGUGAUUUCACAUACACACGUGUAUUAUUUUAUUAGCCAGACAGUGACAGUCAUUGUCAAGUGGAGGACCUAAUUCAGACUAAAUAAUCAUGCUCGUUUUGUCCACAGAGGACAAAAGAAUUUUGAGCAAUCUGAUUUUCAGAUGACUGAAUCUUUCUUUUUAGUUACUUGAAGGCAGUGAGAGGAGAGGUUGCUUGGACAGAAC